rnacentral:rRNA from 1 species
UACGAAGGGGGCUAGCGUUGUUCGGAGUUACUGGGCGUAAAGGGCGCGUAGGCGGCGCAUCAAGUCAGGCGUGAAAGCCCUGGGCUCAACCCGGGAAUUGCGCUUGAGACUGGUGUGCUCGAGUACGGGAGAGGAUAGUGGAAUUCCCAGUGUAGAGGUGAAAUUCGUAGAUAUUGGGAAGAACACCGGUGGCGAAGGCGGGUCUCUGGGCAGUAACUGACGCUGAGGAGCGAAAGCGUGGGGAGCGAACAGG